UGUUGAUUUAUGAUAGAACUAUCAGUGGAGUACAACUCUAUAAUCACUGAUAUGAACCUGAAUACAAAGGUCAUGAAGUGGGGGCCCAAUAAUGCAGAAGAAGGAAAUCCUCUUCUAGCUGGUCCUGCAGGAUUUAUCACAGCACCUCUAUGGUCCUCUCUUGCCUGUUAAGUCUCUCUAUAAAGGGCACUCUAUAAAGGGUGAAUGGAAGAGUGAGUGGUCUGGCCUCACUGUAGCACCCUCUGUAACAUGAGGAGUCCAGGAGCCAGUGGAAAGUUGAAGCUAAUCUGGUGUGAACCAAUGUGGCUAUAUCUUCUGCAGGUAGAGGUCAGUGAGCCACUCUGUUUAUUUUCUUGCAGAAGCCAUAGAAGUCCAGCAGUGGGAAUUGAGAAAAUCAUCGAACACUGUUGCUCCUGAGUAUGAAUCAAUGGAGAGUAUAUUCCCCAAAGUCUUUUGUGAAACCCCUGCAGUGGGGUCAGGUUUUCCUUUAUUGAGAAUGGUCGAUGUAUUAUUUUUAGCGCCACCAACAUCUUCCUAUGAAGAAGAUUAUUAUCCACCCAUAAAAAGAAAGAAGAGGAAAAAGAGGAGGCGCUACUACUAAUUAAAAGCCUCCAUUAUUACUCCAGUAAGUACACCACACUCAGACUCUUCAGGAACUUGAAAAGCAUUGAAAUGGGUUAGGGGGAGUGCACAGAGAAACAGAAACAGAGGCAGACGUU
rnacentral:lncRNA from 1 species